rnacentral:rRNA from 1 species
AUUGAACGCUGGCGGCAGGCCUAACACAUGCAAGUCGAACGGUAACAGGAAACAGCUUGCUGUUUCGCUGACGAGUGGCGGACGGGUGCGUAAUGUCUGGGAAACUGCCUGAUGGAGGGGGAUAACUACUGGAAACGGUAGCUAAUACCGCAUAACGUCGCAAGACCAAAGAGGGGGACCUUCGGGCCUCUUGCCAUCGGAUGUGCCCAGAUGGGAUUAGCUAGUAGGUGGGGUAACGGCUCACCUAGGCGACGAUCCCUAGCUGGUCUGAGAGGAUGACCAGCCACAAUGGAACUGAGACACGGUCCAGACUCCUACGGGAGGCAGCAGUGGGGAAUAUUGCACAAUGGGCGCAAGCCUGAUGCAGCCAUGCCGCGUGUAUGAAGAAGGCCUUCGGGUUGUAAAGUACUUUCAGCGGGGAGGAAGGGAGUAAAGUCAAUACCUUUGCUCAUUGACGUUACCCGCAGAAGAAGCACCGGCUAACUCCGUGCCAGCCGCCGCAGUAA